AGCGGCAGACGGGUGAGUAACACGUAAGUAACCUACCCCAGAGACAGGGAUAACCCUAGGAAGCGAGGUCAAAUACCAGAUGAACUCCGCGAGGAGUAAAGGCUCCGGCGCUCUGGGAGGGGCUUGCGGCCAUCAGCUAGUUGGUAGGGUAAAGGCCUACCAAGGCGAAGACGGGUAGGGGGUGUGAGAGCACGACCCCCCACAAUGGGACUGAAACACGGCCCAUACUCCUACGGGAGGCAGCAGCAGGGAAUAUUGCACAAUGGGCGAAAGCCUGAUGCAGCGACGCCGCGUGAGUGAAGAAGGACCUUCGGGUCGUAAAGCUCUUUUGUAGGGGAAGAGGAAGGACGGUACCCUGAGAAAAAGCGUCGGCUAACUACGUGCCAGCAGCCGCGGUAAGACGUAGGACGCGAGCGUUAUCCGGAAUUACUGGGCGUAAAGGGCCAGCAGGCGGCUAGGUAAGUUGUGCGGUGAAAGCCUCGGUGCUCAACGCGAGGAAAGCCGGACAAUACUGUCUAGCUGGAGGGCAUCAGAGGGGAGUGGCAUUCCCGGAGUAGCGGUAAAAAUGCGCAGAUAUCGGGAGGAACACCGAUGGCGAAGGCAACUUCCUGGGGUGUACCUGACGCUAAGUGGCGAAAGCUACGGGAAGCGAACAGGAAUAGAGACCCUGGUAGUCCUAGCUGUAAACGCUGGGUGCUAGGUGUGGGGCGUAGAAGCUCUGUGCCGGAGCGAACGCGAUAAGCACCCCGCCUGGGAAUUACGGUCGCAAGGCUAAAACUCAAACGAAUUGACGGGGCCCCGCACAAGCAGCGGAGCGUGUGGUUCAAUUCGAUGCUACACGAAGAACCUUACCUGGGUUUGACAUGUACGUGGUAGAGAAGCGAAAGCGGAUUGACCCUUCGGGGAGCGUACACAGGUGCUGCAUGGCUGUCGUCAGCUCG
rnacentral:rRNA from 1 species